UUAGAGAGAAGAACAAAAGCAUGCAGUGAACGUGAGGGCCACAGACCUGCUGGAUUCAUGAGCAGCUCAACCUUAAUGAUGCACCGAGACCAUCACUGCUCAGCUCCAUCUUUCAUUUAUGAGGGAGAGAGAGAGAGAGAGAGCGAGAGGGGCUAGGAUGAGGCCGAUUCAUUAAAGAUUAAUUAAGACAAAUGCAGGGACAACACUUACCUCCAAUCGCUUCAGUGAUCUCCACAAACUCUCUGUUACACACAUACAGCGAGGGAUAGAGGGAGAAUGAACAGAGACAGAUGCCAGAGGAAAAUGACAGCAGACGCUCAGUAUCUCACAAAGGGAGAUUAACAAUAAAAUACAGUAAAAUAAAAUAAACUAAGAAAAAGUAUGUGUAUAGGUAUUACUGGGCUGUUCUCUGCAGAAUUUUGUUCUGGCUUCAAAGGUAAAAAACAACAACAAAUUUAUAUAUAAAAAUACGUUUAAAAAAAAUUAAAUAAACAAAAAAAGGUUUAGUGUUGAGGUCUAUAGUAAUGAUGUGCCCCCAUUUAGCUUGGUGUGUCUGUGUAAUGUUGUUUUUAGUUAUUUCUAAGUUUGUGGUGUGUGAGGUGUGUGUGUGUGUGUGUGUGUGUGUGUGUGUGUGUGUGUGUGUAUGUGUGUGUGUGUGUGUGUGUGUGUGUGUGUGUGUGUUGGUUUUUGUGGUUUACAAGGACUUUUGACCUGAAUACGCACCAGCAUUACAGGGACAUUUGGGUUUAUGAGGACAGGGCCCAUGUCCUUAUAAUUCCGACAGUGUAUAUGCCUUUCUCUAUGUCCCAGAAGCUCCCUCUCAAAUUUUCGCGCCAUGUCCUAAUAUACCACAAAACCCUGAAAUUUUACUAUACACUGUGUAUCCUCCGAACUCGGGAGUGCGCCCCUGCAGCCCGGACCCGGUACUGCAUCCGCGUCAUCGAAAAUUUGCAUAUUUUACACUUGUGUAAGUUUGGAGGCCGCUGAUUGGCUAGAUCGGCACCGGAGGGCGGGAAAUCGCGAAAACAAAAUGGCGGCGGUGGGCGGGGCUACAUUCUGCCGCUAAUAGCUCCGUACAACGAGGCAAGGGUGUCGGUUUGUAACUUCCUGUUUGGACCGGACGCAAUCUGUGCACCUGAAGUGAAGACAUCUGCGGUGUGAAGCUGUUGGAGACAACUAUUAUAUGAAAGCAGACACAGAGGAUGGCUGAAGGUGCGAGGCGAAGGAGAAAGCUGAGGCCAUACAGUGUUCACUUCAACAGAAAGACCAGAAUGGGCUCAAGGGCAGGUUCAUCACUGAUCUUAAAGGUGACUCUGAAGAAGGACCGGUUACUAUUGGAUGAUCAGGACUGUGUUGAAUGUCACCUGUCAAAGAGCAUGUGUUGAAUGAGGAGCAGAGCUUUUGUGCCCCAGUUGAAGGAGUUAAGGAGAUGAGAUCAACAUGACAGAUUCUGAUGACGCUGAUCCUGAAGAAAGUGAUUCUGAUGAUGAGGCUCUUGCUGGAGCUGCGGGAGACUCCAGUAAUGCUGGUGUUCAGAAGAUGCCCAUUGAGAGCACCACUGAAGUUCCUGAAGAGAGUGAGAGUGAGGCAGAAACUGAAAACACACGGAGAGGGCAGAAAGUGUCCUGGUCAAACACUGAAGUUACAGCUGUAAUCAAACAUUUUAAGGACCACAGAGCUAAAGGAAAACUGGCCACAAUGACUGAAAACCAGCAGUGUAAAACUGCUGAGGAUCCUGUUUUGGUGAGAUGCAGUGCACAGAACAUACAGGAUUUUGUAAGAAAUCGAGGAAUUAUCUUAAAAAGGAAAACCCAAAGCAAGUGAUGUUACAGUACAUCCUGUGUCUUGAUGCCAUUCUAUUAUCAUGAGCACUUUGGUUGUUGUUUUUAUUUCCAAUAGUGCAAAACUGUUAUAGCAGCAGUUCAUACAAAUAUCUCCAUGUAGAAAACAAGUUCAAUUGUUAGUUUGUCAAAAACUUUUCAUUCUGGAAGUGAACGAUUCCUUUACAGAUAAAUCAGUUUCUCUACACAUCUGCAGCAUGUAUUGUGUGCUCAGAGUUAAUCGCAUGUUUACUUUUUCAUUCUGGAAGUGAACCAUUCCUUUAAGGAUCAAUCAGUUUCUCUACACAUCUGCAGCAUCUAUUGUGUGCUCCGAGUUAAUCUCAUGUUUACUGUGUGUUUAGUAGGGAUGCACUGAUCAUGAUUUUUCAUAGACGAUACCGAUAUUUAUUUAUUUUUACAAGCAAACUGGCCGAUUCCGAUACAGAUUUCCGAUUAUUAUUAUUAUUAUUAUAUUAUUUUUUUUAA